rnacentral:rRNA from 1 species
CCUACGGGAGGCUGCAGUGGGGAAUAUUGGACAAUGGGGGGAACCCUGAUCCAGCCAUGCCGCGUGUGUGAAGAAGGCCCUCGGGUUGUAAAGCACUUUCAGUGAGGAAGAACGCCUGGUGGUUAAUACCCAUCAGGAAAGACAUCACUCACAGAAGAAGCACCGGCUAACUCCGUGCCAGCAGCCGCGGUAAUACGGAGGGUGCGAGCGUUAAUCGGAAUUACUGGGCGUAAAGCGCGCGUAGGUGGCUUGAUAAGCCGGUUGUGAAAGCCCCGGGCUCAACCUGGGAACGGCAUCCGGAACUGUCCAGCUAGAGUGCAGGAGAGGAAGGUAGAAUUCCCGGUGUAGCGGUGAAAUGCGUAGAGAUCGGGAGGAAUACCAGUGGCGAAGGCGGCCUUCUGGACUGACACUGACACUGAGGUGCGAAAGCGUGGGUAGCAAACAGGAUUAGAUACCCCGGUAGUC